UACAGAGGGGGCGAGCGUUGUUCGGAAUUACUGGGCGUAAAGGGCUCGUAGGCGGCCAACUAAGUCGGAUGUGAAAUCCCCAGGCUCAACCUGGGAACUGCAUCCGAUACUGGAUGGCUUGAAUCCGGGAGAGGGAUGCAGAAUUCCAGGUGUAGCGGUGAAAUGCGUAGAUAUCUGGAGGAAUACCGGUGGCGAAGGCGGCAUCCUGGACCGGCAUUGACGCUGAGGAGCGAAAGCUAGGGGAGCAAACGGG
rnacentral:rRNA from 1 species